AUUGAACGCUGGCGGAAUGCUUUACACAUGCAAGUCGGGCGGCAGCGCGGGGGCAACCCUGGCGGCGAGCGGCGAACGGGUGAGUAACACAUCGGAACGUACCCUGUCGUGGGGGAUAACGAAUCGAAAGAUUCGCUAAUACCGCAUACGACCUGAGGGUGAAAGCGGGGGGAUCGCAAGACCUCGCGCGAGAGGAGCGGCCGAUGGCGGAUUAGCUAGUUGGUGGGGUAAAGGCCCACCAAGGCGACGAUCCGUAGCGGGUCUGAGAGGACGGCCCGCCACACUGGGACUGAGACACGGCCCAGACUCCUACGGGAGGCAGCAGUGGGGAAUUUUGGACAAUGGGGGCAACCCUGAUCCAGCCGUUCCGCGUGAGUGAAGAAGGCCUCGGUUGGUAAGUACGUC
rnacentral:rRNA from 1 species